rnacentral:siRNA from 1 species
UAACCGUCAAGCUCACAGUGCA